CCAAGGUCAUGACCAAUUAUUGAGCCCUCUUACCUGAACUGUCCCAUUGACUUCAAUCCCACUGACUGAUGCAGGACAUCAUGUGACCCAGAGGAAGGCUAAAUGAAUGGUUGUGGAGAGACAAAUACUGCUCAAUAAAUGGGAGAAGAAUGAGAGACUGCAACAAAUCCCAGUGCAUCUAAUCAAAGCAAAGAGAGAGAUGUCUGGAGAUAGCCUGACAACGCCCUUCUUCUCCCGGAAAAUAUUCCCUUGCUUUGGGACCCUUUGAGAUUUUUCCAUUAUGACAACUCUACAAACAAAUCUACUUGCUACUUUCAGACCACGCUGUUCCUUACAACAGUCCAGAAUACCAGGUGCCCAGGAAGAUAAGGAGGCAGGGCUGCAAACAGCAGCUCAUUCAGAUUCUUGAGGUGGAAAG